rnacentral:tRNA from 5 species
GCCGCCGUAGUUCAAUGGAUAGAACGAGUGCCUCCUAAGCGCUAGAUACAGGUUCGAUUCCUGUCGGAGGCACCA